UCUAUCCGUUCUCAUGAAUCCAUCUUCGAUCGAUCCAUAUGGUCCGUCUUUGGUUUCUUCUUUCCUUAAUCUUAUCUUUUGUACUGUACCAAUGUCGUACCGUACAAGUGUGUGCGUGUGGUUGUGUCCUAAAAAUAAGUCUAUGUUUUGUGUUUCCGAUGUUAAUGUAAUGUUAAAAUCAUCUCAAUGGCUUUAUUUUAUUUUAUCUAAGGAUUCAAAUGUGUUUUAGUUCAAAGUUUCCAAUAACUGGAAUCGAG
rnacentral:lncRNA from 1 species